AGCUCCAAUAGCGUAUAUUUAAGUUGUUGCAGUUAAAAAGCUCGUAGUUGGAUUUCGGGUGUGAACGACCGGUCCGUCUUUGAUGUGUACUGGUUGGUUGCGCCUUAUUGUCGAGGACGUGGUUCUAGCUUUCAUUAGCCGGGACACGGAGUCGGCAGCGUUACUUUGAGAAAAUUAGAGUGUUCAAAGCAGGCUAUCGCUCUGAAUACUACAGCAUGGAAUAACACGAUAGGACUCCGAGCCUAUUCUGUUGGUCUUCGGGACCGGAGUAAAGAUUAAGAGGGACAGUUGGGGGCAUUCGUAUUCCGAUGUCAGAGGUGAAAUUCUUGGACCGUUUGAAGACAAACUACUGCGAAAGCAUUUGCCAAGAAUGUUUUCAUUAAUCAAGAACGAAAGUACG
rnacentral:rRNA from 1 species